UUGGUCAAUUAGAGGAAGUAAAAGUCGUAACAAGGUUUCCGUAGGUGAACCUGCGGAAGGAUCAUUAACGAGUUGAACGGGGUUGUAGCUGGCCUUCACAGGCAUGUGCACACCUCACUCAUCCACUCUACACCUGUGCACUUACUGUGGGUUUCGAGAGGCCGCGCUUGCGUGGUUGAUCGGGCUCACGUCUAUUACAAACUCUUCAGUAUCAGAAUGUGUAUCGCGAUGUAACGCAUCUAUAUACAACUUUCAGCAACGGAUCUCUUGGCUCUCGCAUCGAUGAAGAACGCAGCGAAAUGCGAUAAGUAAUGUGAAUUGCAGAAUUCAGUGAAUCAUCGAAUCUUUGAACGCACCUUGCGCUCCUUGGUAUUCCGAGGAGCAUGCCUGUUUGAGUGUCGUGUAAUUCUCAACCUAUAAAUCCUUGUGGUUUUUAGGCUUGGACUUGGAGGCUUUUGCUGGCUUUACCGUCGGCUCCUCUUAAACGCAUUAGCUUGAUUCCUUGCGGAUCGGCUCUCAGUGUGAUAAUUAUCUGCGCUGUGACCGUGAAGCGUUUGGCGAGCUUCUAACCGUCUCUUUGAGACAAACACUUUGACAUCUGACCUCAAAUCAGG
rnacentral:rRNA from 1 species